UUGUGCAAAACAUUCAAUAUGUGUACAUUUACCCUACCAUUUUACCACCACAUAUGUGUAUAAGAAAUAGAUCGUAUUUUAUUCAAUAAAUAUUACUAUAGGUUCUUGUGCCUCCGCCAUGGCAGGACGGCUAGAAA